rnacentral:rRNA from 1 species
AUUGAACGCUGGCGGCGUGCCUAACACAUGCAAGUCGAUCGGUAACAGGUGUAGCAAUACAUGCUGACGAGAGGCGGACGGGUGAGUAACGCUUGGGAAUCUGCCUAUUAGUGGGGGACAACCCGGGGAAACUCGGGCUAAUACCGCAUACGCUCUACGGAGGAAAGCCGGGGACCGCAAGGCCUGGCGCUAAUAGAUGAGCCCAAGUCGGAUUAGCUAGUUGGUAGGGUAAUGGCCUACCAAGGCGACGAUCCGUAGCUGGUCUGAGAGGACGACCAGCCACACUGGGACUGAGACACGGCCCAGACUCCUACGGGAGGCAGCAGUGGGGAAUAUUGGACAAUGGGGGAAACCCUGAUCCAGCGACGCCGCGUGGGUGAAGAAGGCCUGCGGGUUGUAAAGCCCUUUCGGUGGGGAAGAAAAGCCUCGGACCUAACACGUCGGGGUAUUGACGUAACCCACAAAAGAAGCACCGGCUAACUCUGUGCCAGCAGCCGCGG